rnacentral:rRNA from 1 species
GAUGAACGCUGGCGGCGUGCCUAAUACAUGCAAGUCGAACGGACAGACGAUGCGCUUGCUCGUCUGACGUUAGCGGCGGGCGUGUGAGUCACACGUGUAUAAUCUACCUAUCAUACUGGUAUAACCUCGAGACACGGGCGCUAAUACCGGAUAAUCUCCUGAACCGCAUUGUUCAUUAGUAAAUGACGGCUUUGGUGUCUCGUAUCGAUGGUUCCCCGCCGCUUUAGCUGGUUGUUACGUACAAGGGUUUUCACGGCUACGAUGCGUGACCGACGUGUGAGAGUGAUCGGCCGCCCGAGAGCUGAGACGCGGUCCAGACUCCUACGGGAGGCAGCAGUAGGGAAUCGGCCGCAAUGGGCGAAAGCCUGACGGAGCAGCGCCGCGUGAGUGAUGGAGGUCUUCGGAUCGUAAAACUGUGUUAUUAGGGAAGAACAAAUGUGUAAGUAGCUGUGCCGGGCGUGACGGUACCUAAUCAGGAAGCCACGGCUAACUACGUG